GGGCCAAGGCACCCUUGACUAAGUCUUGCAUUGUUAAAAAGAUGACCACUUCAUUUCACUUCACUCCAACUCUUAAAAAAAAGAAGGAAUUGAAGAGCACCACAAUAAGGGGGCUCUCGGCCAGCCCAAGGAAAAAUCCACCCCCAUUUCUUGCUCUUCCAAAAUUAUUUCCUUGGUACAAACCCACUAUUUUGAGGUCCCUAAGUAGCGUGGGAGUGUCGUUGGAGCGAUCAACCCAUUAUUUUUCAUCCAUUGGAAACCCUAGCAUUUUGUGGAAUUGAAGAGGAUAGAUCGUGGGCAGCCCGAAUCAUAGGUUGGAUUUAGCUUGAGUUUGGAUCGUAUUGGAGAGCGUUUGAGGUACGGACGCACAGCCUGGUGAUCCACCUGUUUAGGACACCCUUUCUGCUAUUCGGAGUGCUCCUCUCUUUCCGGAGCUUAUACUUUUGGUAUAUAUAUAUUUAUUAGUGCAUUUGUAUAUAUUCGUUCAUGGGUACGGCGGGGCCCUGUCCCGUCAUAUGAUUCUGUCGGUCUGUUUAGAGGUCUGUGGACAUGUUUGUGGGUUAGGGUCUUUCUGUAUGGAUAUAUGUACAUGUCGUUUGGGCGAUCCCAUACGCCGAGGCGGC